rnacentral:misc_RNA from 1 species
GAUGAAGAACGUAGCGAAAUGCGAUACUUGGUGUGAAUUGCAGAAUCCCGUGAACCAUCGAGUCUUUGAACGCAAGUUGCGCCCGAAGCCUCGGCUAAGGGCACGUCUGCCUGGGCGUCACGCAUCGCGUCUCCCCCAAACCGCCAAGGCGGAGGGGAAGGAAGAUGGCUUCCCGUGCCUCACCCGGGCGCGGUUGGCCUAAAUUUGGAGCCCGCGGCACUUAGCUCUCGCGGCGAUAGGUGGUGAACAAGGCCUUGGCCGUGCAAACAACCCGCUGCGAAGCUCUAUGUCACGUGCGCUCGUCGGACCCUUUGAAGUUGCCUUUGGUGACUUAAAACCUUUGCGACCCCAGGUCAGGCGGGGCUACCCGCUGAGUUUAAGCAUAUCAAUAAGCGGAGGA